rnacentral:rRNA from 1 species
AGUGAACGCUGGCGGUAGGCCUAACACAUGCAAGUCGAACGGCAGCACAGUAAGAGCUUGCUCUUACGGGUGGCGAGUGGCGGACGGGUGAGGAAUACAUCGGAAUCUACUUUUUCGUGGGGGAUAACGUAGGGAAACUUACGCUAAUACCGCAUACGACCUACGGGUGAAAGCAGGGGAUCUUCGGACCUUGCGCGAUUGAAUGAGCCGAUGUCGGAUUAGCUAGUUGGCGGGGUAAAGGCCCACCAAGGCGACGAUCCGUAGCUGGUCUGAGAGGAUGAUCAGCCACACGGGAACUGGAACACGGGCCAGACUCCUACGGGAGGCAGCAGUGGGGAAUUGUGGAAAAUGGGCGAAAGCCUGAUCCAGCCAUACCGCGUGGGUAAAGAAGGCCUUGGGGUUGGAAAGCCCUUUUGUUGGGAAAAAAAAGCAGCAGGUUAAUACCCCGCUGUUCUGACGGUACCCAAAAAAUAGCACCGGCUAACUUCGG